AACGUCCCAGUUCGGAUUGUAGUCUGCAACCCGACUACAUGAAGCUGGAAUCGCUAGUAAUCGCGAAUCAGCAUGUCGCGGUGAAUACGUUCCCGGGUCUUGUACACACCGCCCGUCACACCAUGGGAGUUGGUAACGCCCGAAGUCAGUGACCCAACCGAAAGGAGGGAGCUGCCGAAGGCGGGAUUGGUAACUGGGGUGAAGUCGUAACAAGGUAUC
rnacentral:rRNA from 1 species